rnacentral:rRNA from 2 species
UGGAAGUAAAAGUCGUAACAAGGUCUCCGUUGGUGAACCAGCG